GUCAUACAUAGGAUCAUGUUAUUCAACGCAGUCUCCCUUAGAGGUCAGGUUUAUCAGCUGUUCCAAAACUUCAUCGAUCUUCACCAGCAGGUGAACUGUAGUUGUUUAGAUUAUUUCACGUUUUCAGUUAAAUCUAAUGGAAGAGCUCCUAAAGUGAACCCUGAGGGGAGACGGUUUUGUUUUCUAGAUUUAUGGUGAUUCUAAAACUGUUUGCACAAGUGGACUGUAAUGUUUCAGCUCUGUUUGUGAAUGUCAUGUUGGAUUAUUUUGGGAUAUUGAAGUUUCCCUCUUUCCAUUUGGAGCCACAAACAUGGAAAGUUGCUAAAAACAGAUUGAACUUUCUCAGUUUGCCUCACUCUCAUCCUGCCCUGGACAUUUUGGAUAUUCCGAUUUGUAGAUGACCACUGUGGAGUGGCUUUUUUUUUUUUUUUCCUUUUCUAACUAAAUAAACUGUGACAAAAAACCCACGAUGGAGACCAUCUAGCCUGGAUCUCUGAUUAGCAGAGUGAACAGCAGCUCCCCUCAUUGCUGUUAUGGCACUGAGGGCUCUAAGCCAGACCAUCCAAAUGCUGACGUCACCCCCCCUCAUCCCCACUUCUGUGCACUGCAAGGAGCGGGAGGGGAGGGAUGGAGAGAAUAAAGUGAUUGGUUUACCGACCCCCUUCUCCAUGACACAUCAUGAAAAUAAAAGUGCCGGAGGCCUAAAUUAUCACAUUCACCUUAACCGUGCACUCUUAGAUGUUGUUUUAGAGACAAAUCCAAACCAGCAGCUCUGCCUGUGGCUAACAGGCCUCCUGACCACAAUGUCUGGAUAAAUAAAUAAACAAAGUGAGGACAAAGGUCACCAUAAGUUUCAGGAUUUAUUUUUUAAACAUAGGGUUUCCCUCACUCACAUUUUUUCGGUUCUAGUGACCAAAUCAUGCCUUGUACUACCGGGUUUUUGAGUAGUAAUGUGUUCCUUUUUUUUUUUUUUUUUUUAAACUACCUGGCUCCUCUGCUGGUUGAAGUGUAAGAAAUAUAUCUGCCCUGUUUUGUUGUUUUUUUCCUUUUUCUUGACCUCCCACUUGUAGGAUCACUGACGUGGACAACGGAGCUGCUCUCACAUGAAAAUAAUUUCCUGAAAUAAAUAAAAGAUUAAGUGCCACACCUAGUGGCUGAAGGGGGUAGAGCAUUUACAACUUGGAUUCCACUGGGUCAGAAAACAUCAGGAGAAAAUGGUAUUCUGCACACGGCCACGUUUAUGUGUGUGGCUGUUUUACCUGAAGCCCUCCGUCACCAACUUUAAUACGUUCAUUGCCCUUUGUAAUCACUCAUCUGCAGGUCAGCCGGCAGUCUGAAUGUCGGGGGAGGGGGGGUAGUGGACGAGCUCCAGCUUUUCCCCACGAGGUGAGACGCUCCUGACUGAAGGAGAAGGCUCACCGACUUGGAUAUGUCCUUUCUUUGGGGUCACGUGGGUCACCCUGGAAGGCCCGGCAUGAGGGGAAAAGCGGAAAAACUCCCAGAAACGAUUGAAUGAUUGAUCCAAGUUCCACAAUUACAGCCUCUCCGACGAUUAGCAUUAAUUUCAGAGAGGGGGUGGGGGUUGGAGUAAAAUAGGCGUGACCGUAUGGUUGACUUUACCCAUGCUAUUACCAUAAAUUAUGCAGAUAAUUUUUCUUUUUCGUGGGGUGAACCUCUAAUUAUUAAAUAGGGCCAUCGUCAGUGGAAUAAAGCUCAACCGAGAUAGACUGGCUGUGCAACAAUUACA
ensembl:lncRNA